AGGACGAACGUUGGCGGCGUGCCUUACACAUGCAAGUCGUACGCGAAAGGGGAAUCCAGCUUGCUGGGGACCCCCCGGUAGAGUGGCGAACGGGAGCGUAACACGUGAGGAACCUGCCUCGGAGUGGGGAAUAACCCAGAGAAAUCUGGGCUAAUUCCGCAUGAUGCAGCGGCCCCGCAGUGGGGACAGUUAGUAAAAGACCGCCUCUGCUUGCAAGCGGUCGCUUCGAGAUGGUCUCGCGGCCUAUCAGCUAGGUUGGCGGGGUAAUCGGCCCACCGAAGGCGACGGACGGGUACGCCGGCCUGGAGGAGGGUGUCCCGGCCUCGAGUUCGGACUGACGACGACGGCCCAGACCUCCGACGGAGCAGCAGUGGAGAUCUGCG
rnacentral:rRNA from 1 species